UACGUAGGGCGCAAGCGUUGUCCGGAAUUAUUGGGCGUAAAGAGCUCGUAGGCGGCCUGUUACGUCUGCUGUGAAAUCCCGGGGCUUAACCCCGGGCGUGCAGUGGAUACGGGCAGGCUGGAGGCAGGCAGGGGAGAACGGAAUUCCCGGUGUAGCGGUGAAAUGCGCAGAGUAUCGGGAGGAACACCGGUGGCGAAGGCGGUUCUCUGGGCCUGACUGACGCUGAGGAGCGAAAGCGUGGGGAGCGAACAGG
rnacentral:rRNA from 1 species